rnacentral:lncRNA from 1 species
AAAAAGCUCUUGAGAUUCGUUAAUAACAAGGUAAGUUUGAGAUUCAUAUUUACUUGAAAGUAAUUUAAGUUGUGAUACAAGUUUUAAAAUUAUGUAAAUUAUCAAUUAUCAAAAUAUUAAUUUUAAGAACAGCAUAACAUCUGAAAUCUUUGCACCGACUCAAUCAUAGUCUAUUUCUUAAGAGGUAAUUUCCUAAAUGAAAAAUUGACAAGACGAUGUUUAUAAUGUUAACAAACAUGUUUAGUUUUCUUUAUGUUUUCUGUAAUCGAUCAGUAUGUUUCCAUUGUCUAAUUUUAAUUUUAUUACAUCCUGCUUCAUUGAUGGUUGAUUCCACCAAACGUUCGAUUUCAUGAAUGUGACCUACCGAAUUAGACUAUUUAUCUGAUUUGUAAUAACAUGAGCAACACAACGGGUGCAACAUGUGGAGCAGGAUAUGCUUAACCUUCCGGAGCACCUAAGAUCACACCCAGUUUUUGGUGGGGUUUGUGUUGAUCAGUCUUUAGUUUUUUAUGUUGUUUCUUGUGUACUAUUUAUGUCUGUUUGUCUUUUUCAUUUUAAGCCAUGGCGUUGUCAGUUUUUUUUUCGAUUUAUGAGUUUGACUAUUCCUCUGGUAUGUGGCAGGUGUUCUCGACUUAAAUAUUUAUUGUUAAGAAUUGUUAUUAAACCAGCCAAAGGUCGUUGCUUUUCUCUAAGCAUGCCAGCUUCCUCUUCUAAUAAAACUGUCCAUACUAAUCAGCUUUUAGUGCUAAUAGUGGGACUAGACACAAAGCAGUCAAUCACUAAGUCCUGUUGCUGAUAAACUAUUUCAGAUAUAAUAUUAUGACUCAUGAAAACAAGAAGUUAUGGUAUAAAACGGUCCACCAGAAUGCAAAUGUUGUAUAUGUACAAUUAACAAUUAUAUGUCACCAAACGACCUUUGACAGUGCUAUGGAGAUCACAGAACAUCUUAAAUACCGAUUUGGAUUCACGAAUAAUUUUCUGAAAGAAAUUGAACUAUUACCUAUUGUUUAUCUUUUACCCCUCAUAUCCAUUUUCUCUUGGAAAUUGCUUUCUGUAACUUUCCGACUACCCUUAUACUGCCUUGAAAAUAUUAUGGGUCUCUAUGUGUCUUCUGUAAGUUUCCAAGUUUUAAAAAAUAAUAGAAUGUCAUGAAUACAAUAGUUUUGUUAUACGAUAUAUUUUUAAAUUAAUUUUAUUUCUGUUCUUUCCUAGAAUAUGCAGUCGUCAACCAUCAUUUGUUUGCUCCUUAUUUUCUCAUGUGAGUAUUGUAUUUUUAUAAUCUUUAAUAUUACCAUCAUAUGAUUUACUUCUAAUAUUUUUGUGUGAGAAUCAUGUCUUAUAUAUAAAUAUAAUUAGAACAAACAGAUAGUGGCAUAUAUAGAUAUGAAAUAAAAGUAUAUAAUAAAAGUUAUGAUUUUAUAUAAAAAAAAGAAAAGAAAAACCACCCACAAAUAUAAACAUAAGUCGCAGUUAUGAUAAAUAUUACCCUUUACCUUUGUUAUGAAUAAAACAAUGAUGUGCAAUUUAUUUAAAAAGUAUAAGGGAUUAUAAAUAAAUGAAUAUGAAACAAUUUAUUUACAUCUCAUUUUUCUACAGGUUCCAAGUGAGGAAAUCUCAUCAUUUGCUAUCCGUGGUCCGUCGUCGUCGUAAUUUUUUUUUACCAAAAACUAAAAUCACAAAAGUACUGAACUCUGAGUAAAAUUCACAAAGGAAAGUACCUAAUCAAAUGGCAAAAUCAAAAGCUCAAACACACCAAACGAAUGGAUAACAACUGUCAAACUCCUGAACUGGUACAGACAUUUUUUUAUGUAGAAAACGGUGGAUUGAAUCUGGUUAAAUAGCUUGCUUAAACUUUGCAUGACAGUUGCAUCAAAAUUCCAUUAUAUUGACAAACAAUUCUCGUUUUAAUCUAUUUAGUUCAAUAGACAAAACAUGGUCACAAUACUCAUUGGGGUUUCCAGUUUAAAAACAGUAUCAUAUAUAGACAAGCCUUUGAACAAUAAGAUGAAACAAUUCAAAUUAAAAAUCGAACAGCAUAAAUACACUCAUCAUAGAUACCAGAUAAAGGCAACAGUAGUAUACCGAUGUUCAAACUCAUAAAUCGAUAGGCUAAAACAAAUCCGGGUCAUAAACCAAAACCAGGAUUCAAAUUAAGUAUAUAUUUGCGCCAGACACGAGUUCCGUGUACAAAUGACUCAUCAGUGACGCUCGAAUCUAAAAAAAAAAUAAUUUAAAUGCCAAACAAUAUACAAAGUUUUAAGAGCAUUGAUGACCAACCAUUCCUAAAAGUUUGACCAAAUACAGCUAAGGUAUCUAUCCCUGAGGUUGAAACAAUUAAAAUCUUAUUGUUCAAAUGCGAACGGUUUUCUUUCGAGUCUGGGACAAACAAAUCUUAGUAAAAAUAUUAAACAACACGUUUAAUAAUUUAUUGCGUCCGAAGCGCUUUUGGAAUUACCUUCAUCAGGAACGCUCAAAGCCAAACAUUUGAAAUCCGAAGAUGUAUAAGUACGAAAAUCGUUGAAGAGCUAUAUGUUAAAAAUACCUAAAUAAAUAGCCAAAUUCAUCUAAAGCCAACUUUGCCUGAGGGAGUUGAAACCUUAGUUUCAUAAUAAUUUCAAAAUUUAUAAACGGAAAAUUUUAGUAAAGUUUGUUUAAUCAUGUCAGUACCGAAGCACUGACUACUGAGCUGAUGAUACCCUCGGGGACUGAUAGUCCACCAGCAGAGGUAUCGACCCAGUGAUGUAAAAAUAUAAAAGAACACGUUUAAUAAUUUAGUAACUCUUGAUUUAAACUCAUUGUAAAACAAUAUGUAAGUUGCAAUCCUUGCCAAUAGAUACAGAGUAUUGUAUAAAUGUUUACUAUUUUGAGCUGUUUCUUGUUUUAACCUUGGUUUUUUUUUCUUGUUAACCCCCCCCCCCCCCACCUUCAUUUCACCCUCAUUCUUUAUGUGCCUGUCCCAAGCCAGAAGCCGCUAGUUCAGUGGUUGUCGCUAGUUCAUGUUUGCCAUAUUUAUUUUUCGUAAACUGUUUUGUUAUAAUUUACAGCCGAUGGAUUUUUCUCAUUGUUGAAGGACGUACGGUUGCCUAUAAUUAUUUAUCUCUACUCCUAUUGAACUUUGGUGAAUAGUUUUCGAAUUCGCAACCAUACCAGAUCUGGUUAUUGUUUACAUAAUUCAUGGAUUGUAAUCAAAUCUUUUAUUAUUGUAAUUCUUAAAAAUGCAAAUAGAUCAAGGUAAGCGACAUAGGCUCAUAACAUAAUUAUAAAUAAUAUACUAUUAUAAAUACAUACUACCUAAACAUAAUGUACUCAUAUAUUUUUUAGGUAUAACUCUGACCGAGCAGCUAAAGUUAUGUUCUAAAACUUGUUCUGGUUGUAAAGGAUGUUGUGCAAAAAGAGGCUGCACUUCUUUCAAUUCAUGGAGUUGUGUGAACAACAAAUGUUAUUGCGAUUGUGGAGGAUAUUUUUUAAAGGGUAAUAAGAAGUAAAAGAAGCCAGAAGCCAGCAACAAUAAUUAACGCUUGAUUUAAACUCAUUGUAAGAUGUAAACCUAACCAAUAUAUACAGAGUAUUAUAUAAAUUGAUAGCAUUUUG